GGGUUGUGAGGUUAAGCGACUAAGCGUACACGGUGGAUGCCCUGGCAGUCAGAGGCGAUGAAGGGCGUGCUAAUCUGCGAUAAGCGCCGGUAAGGUGAUAUGAACCGUUAUAACCGGCGAUACCCGAAUGGGGAAACCCAGUGUGACUCGUCACACUAUCAUUAACUGAAUCCAUAGGUUAAUGAGGCGAACCGGGGGAACUGAAACAUCUAAGUACCCCGAGGAAAAGAAAUCAACCGAGAUUCCCUCAGUAGCGGCGAGCGAACGGGGAGGAGCCCAGAGCCUGAAUCAGCAUGUGUGUUAGUGGAAGCGUCUGGAAAGGCGCGCGAUACAGGGUGACAGCCCCGUACACAAAAGCGCAUAUGCUGUGAGCUCGAUGAGUAGGGCGGGACACGUGGUAUCCUGUCUGAAUAUGGGGGGACCAUCCUCCAAGGCUAAAUACUCCUGACUGACCGAUAGUGAACCAGUACCGUGAGGGAAAGGCGAAAAGAACCCCGGUGAGGGGAGUGAAAAAGAACCUGAAACCGUGUACGUACAAGCAGUGGGAGCACCCUUUGGGGUGUGACUGCGUACCUUUUGUAUAAUGGGUCAGCGACUUAUAUUCUGUAGCAAGGUUAACCGAAUAGGGGAGCCGGAGGGAAACCGAGUCUUAA
rnacentral:rRNA from 1 species